UCGAGAAUCUUCCGCAAUGGGCGCAAGCCUGACGGAGCGACGCCGCGUGCGGGAUGAAGGCCUUCGGGUUGUAAACCGCUGUCAGUGGGGAGCAAGUCAGUGGGGGCUAUCCCCCAUUGUUGAGCGAUCCACAAAGGAAGCGCAGGCUAAGUUCGUGCCAGCAGCCGCGGUAACACGAACUGCGCGAACGUUAUUCGGAAUCACUGGGCUUAAAGAGUCCGUAGGCGGCUUGGUAGGUGGGGUGUGAAAGCCCACGGCUCAACCGUGGAAUUGCGCUUCAAACCACCAGGCUCGAGGGAGAUAGAGGAGAGCGGAACUGAUGGUGGAGCGGUGAAAUGCGUUGAUAUCAUCAGGAACACCGGUGGCGAAAGCGGCUCUCUGGGUCUCUUCUGACGCUGAGGGACGAAAGCUAGGGGAGCGAACGGGAUUAGAUACCCCUGUAGUCC
rnacentral:rRNA from 1 species